rnacentral:rRNA from 1 species
GACAGAGGGUGCAACCGUUGUUCGGAAUUACUGGGCGUAAAGCGUGUGUAGGCGGCCUUGCAAGUCGGAUGUGAAAGCCCCGGGCUCAACCCGGGAAGUGCACCCGAAACUGCAAGGCUCGAGUACCGGAGAGGUUGGUGGAAUUCUCGGUGUAGAGGUGAAAUUCGUAGAUAUCGAGAGGAACACCGGUGGCGAAGGCGGCCAACUGGACGAGUACUGACGCUGAGACACGAAAGCGUGGGGAGCAAACAGG